rnacentral:rRNA from 1 species
ACUCAAAUGAAUAGACGGGGCCCCGCACAAGCAGCGGAGCGUGUGGUUUAAUUCGAUGUUACACGAAGAACCUUACCUGGGUUUGACAUGUACGUGGUAGGGAAGCGAAAGCGGACCGACCCUUCGGGGAGCGUACACAGGUGCUGCAUGGCUGUCGUCAGCUCGUGCCGUGAGGUGUCGGGUUAAGUCCCGUAACGAGCGCAACCCCUGUCCUUAGUUACAAGUGUCUAAGGGGACUGCCGGCGGUAAGCCGGAGGAAGGUGGGGAUGACGUCAAGUCAGCAUGGCCCUUAUGUCCAGGGCUACACACACGCUACAAUGGCCAGUACAACGGGCAGCGAAACCGCGAGGUGGAGCGAAUCUCAGCAAAGCUGGUCAUAGUUCGGAUUGCAGGCUGCAACUCGCCUGCAUGAAGCUGGAGUUGCUAGUAACCGCGCGUCAGCUAUAGUGCGGUGAAUACGUUCCCGGGGCUUGUACACACCGCCCGU